ACUGUGGCUUGAACAUUUCUCAAUUCACCGACUCUCUCUCUCUCACAAUUGCUUCUAGAACUUUCCUCCAUUAGAGCCCUUCGAUAAUCAUUGUGUUUUAGCACCUGUUGCCAUAGAGAAGCUGCUGCUUACUUGGUUGCCCUGAGUGGGAGAAACGCCACGCAACUCUCAUUGUACUAGCUCAGAUAACUGAAGGUAGCUCAAAGGUACAAAUCUGAUGUCUCAUUUGUGUAUUUAUCAUGAUUAUGUUGCAAUGAUUAUGAGCUAGAAACUUUGGUAUCCUACUUAGAUAGAAUACUCAACAAACUGCUUGUAAUUCUACAGGUAUACAAAAAAUAGAGGCCACCAUGUUAUAAAGGCAGAUUACUGCUAACAAGUCUACGAGAUUCAUGGUAUUUUUUCCUACUUAUUGUUGUUGUUUGAAAUGCAGCUUCUCUCUCUCACAAUUGCUUCUAGAAAUUUCCUCCAUUAGAGCCCUUCGAUAAUCAUUGUGUUUUAGCACCUAUUGCCAUAGAGAAGCUGUCUGCUUACUUGGUUGCCCUGAGUGGGAGAAACGCCAUGCAACUCUCAUUAUACUAGCUCAGAUAACUGAAGGUAGCUCAAAGGUACAAAUCUGAUGUCUCAUUUGUGUAUUUAUCAUGAUUAUGUUGCAAUGAUUAUGAGCUAGAAACUUUGGUAUCCUACUUAGAUAGAAUACUCAACAAACUGCUUGUAAUUCUACAGGUAUACAAAAAAUAGAGGCCACCAUGUUAUAAAGGCAGAUUACUGCUAACUAGUCUACGAGAUUCAUGGUAUUUUUUCCUACUUAUUGUUGUUGUUUGAAAUGCAGAAUCACGACAAUCAAAUGGAGCUUAGUUCACCGGGCUUCCCUUUUAUUGUAGUUCAACAUUUGCAUCAGAUUUUCUUUUAUCCUGAUGUAGCCAUAAAGUAAUUGAAAGUUUGUUCUUUUAUGUAAGGUUUUAUGUGCCGGAGAGAAUCUUGCUACAAAUGAAACUACAAAAUGCAGCAUGCUCAUUGUUAUUGCCUCAGCAGGAGAUGGAAUUGGAAUCCAUUUUAUCACCCGAGGAAGAUGUUAACAUUUCGACACACGCAAUGUAAUUACUAGUCUUGUGAACUUGUGGAAAUCAAGUUAUUUUGGUGCUCAAUCCACUCCUCUGACUAAACAUUGUUCAUUGUGGAGUGAGAUUUUAUGUUGGGAGUCUUAGGUGUGGAGCAACAUAAAACAUGCAAGCUAUGGCGGAGACAUGUUACUAUGUAUAAAAUGGGUACAACAACACUCUCUUGGUAGAAUCUUGCUUCAAUAUGGAACUGAGAGAGCGAAUAAUUAUGGCUUGUGAGAGUUUGUUGCUCAAAUAUAGCACUGGAAAGUUGCUUCUUGUGAAACUUUUUGUAACGAGUUGUAGCCCCGUUUUUCCCAUUUUUUCUUAUUUAUGUGUUGUUCGGUUGUAUCGAGUUGGUAGGUUUGGACUUGUGUAUGGAUUCAACAUUUUUGUAUAAGGAAGGUAAUAAGAACAAUUUCA
rnacentral:lncRNA from 1 species